CUGCACUGUUCGUAACCUGUUACCAGACUGUACUGCCAACGGGUUCCAUUCCAGUGCAACAGAAAUUCCCAAAAUAAUACAAGAUUGACAAACUUGUCCAUCUGAUUUUAUAUUUGGGAGACAAGU